AGCAGCCGCGGUAAUUCCAGCUCCAAUAGCGUAUAUUAAAGUUGUUGCAGUUAAAAAGCUCGUAGUUGAAUUUCGGGAUCAAAUUGUUGGUCGUGCCUCGGUACGCACUGGUAUUAUUGGUUCCUACCUUCUGAAGAACCGCGAUGUCAUUAAUUUGGUGUCGUGGGGAAUCAGGACUGUUACUUUGAAAAAUUAGAGUGUUUAAAGCAGGCUUACGCUUGAAUACAUUAGCAUGGAAUAAUGAAAUAGGACGUUUGAUUCUAUUUUGUUGGUUUCUAGGAUUGACGUAAUGAUUAAUAGGGAUAGUUGGGGCAUUAGUAUUCAAUUGUCAGAGGUGAAAUUCUGGAUUUAUUGAAGACUAACUACUGCGAAAGCAUUUUGCCAAGGAUGUUUUCAUUAAUCAAGAACGAAAGUUAGGGGAUCGAAGACGAUCAGAUACCGUCGUAGUCUUAACCAUAAACUAUGCCGAACUAGGAUCGGAUGAUGUUAAUUUUUAAUGUACUCAUUCGG
rnacentral:rRNA from 1 species